GUAUUAGUAAACAAUAUUUGCCAGUGAUAUAUUCUAUUUUAUUAAGUGGUUUAUAUUUUGGGCACACUAUUUUUUGGGGAGCUAUGCAGACCACGUUUGUUUUUAAUUAUACACAUGAUCAGCCACAUCUAAAAUAAAACCAGUGAGCGAACAUACAGUAAGUGGUUAUAUAUCAUGUUGAGAUCAUAUUUUUGUAUUUUCAUGCUAGGUCAGGAAUCCUUGGUGUUUUGGUGUGUAUUUUGUUGAGCGUCAGACACUUAGUAUCGUUACUUACCAACAGAAUCACCACUGGUUUGGUACUUAAAGAAUGGGGGUACCGAUGUCUUGUUUAGUUUCUUUUUUUUUUUUCUUUUUUUUUCCAGCGCGAGGAUCAAUAAAGGGCGAGUCUAGAGUAAAACAAAACUAUUCCUUUUAAGAUGAGCAUUCCAAAGUGCUAAGGGUUUCAUAUCACCACCUUUCGUCAACCAUAAGACUUCAAUAGCUCUAUGUUUCAUGUUAGGACCGAGCGGCUUCGAGGCAAGGAACUGAACACACGCGAAUCAUCCCUGCAGGACAGUGGAGGAGAGUGGUGUGGCUGUACGUCGGAUUUGCUGCCUUCUCCAGCACUUAUUUGUGACCAUGGUGAAACAGGACUGCCGAAUCUCCACCCUAAGUCUAUUUCCAAUGGCCCAGCAGGUGGAGGAGACAGGAGACGCACAGUGUGAACAUGAGGACGACGAGCACCAAGGCCAGGAUUAGGGAGAGACGGUAGACCUGAGCACAGUCCUGAAGUCCAUCUAGUGACUAUUAAGACUUGUUGUACCCCAUGGCAAGAUUAGUAGCACUCAUGAAGCUGCAACACAACUAGCAACCUGGGAAUGGAUUUGAAAUUUGCCUCAGACAGAAAUUGGCUGGCCCAAAUGGUAGAGAAUCUUCUCCAACUGGGAGCUGAAAUAAGAGGAAUUACUUUGCAACAAACUGUUGGUUUAGGCUCAUAUUGUAUCACAAGAUUGCUUUAGAUCUACUAGUUUUUUGCCAUCAUCCCUUAUUAACAUAAGUAAUUGAUUAAGGCAUUUCUCUUCCGUAUGUA